UUUCUUUUCUUUUGCUUAUUCCCAUCUCAUUUUUCUUUAAUAGAUGGAUGAGUUUCUCAUUACUCUUCUCAUGAUCAUUAUCUUGUCAAAUUCAUUCCGAUAGAAGAAAUGUGUCAUCAAGAAAUGAAAAACAAGCUGUUAGAUCUUUCCAUCAAAUCCUCCUAAUCUAUUGUACAAUCACUUUGCCAACAUUAACAACUCAUGUAUAAUAGCACAGAUUAUAUAGGAUAUCUCAAGUGACACAUACAACUCAGUUUAGUAAUGUAUGAUCUGAGUGCAGAUAAUGGGAGCCAAUUCAUAGCUUCAACAGUGA
rnacentral:lncRNA from 1 species